UUGGAGGGCAAGUCUGGUGCCAGCAGCCGCGGUAAUUCCAGCUCCAAUAGCGUAUAUUAAAGUUGUUGCAGUUAAAAAGCUCGUAGUUGAACCUCGGGGUCUACCCAUUGGUCAGGCUUAAUUGUCUGCACUGGUGAGAUGGAUCUCUACCUUCUGAGGAACUUUCAUGCCAUUUAUUUGGUGUGAUGGGAAAUCAGGACUGUUACUUUGAAAAAAUUAGAGUGUUUAAAGCAGACUAUCGUCUGAAUACAUUAGCAUGGAAUAAUGAAAUAGGACGGACUGAUUCUAUUUCGUUGGUUUCUAGGAUCACCGUAAUGAUUAAUAGGGAUAGUUGGGGGCAUUAGUAUUCAAUUGUCAGAGGUGAAAUUCUUGGAUUUAUUGAAGACUAACUACUGCGAAAGCAUUUGCCAAGGAUGUUUUCAUUAAUCAAGAACGAAAGUUAGGGGAUCGAAGACGAUCAGAUACCGUCGUAGUCUUAACCAUAGACUAUGCCGACUAGGGAUCGGACGAAGUUAAUUUUAUAAUGACGCGUUCGGCACCUUACGGGAAACCAAAGUGUUUGGGUUC
rnacentral:rRNA from 1 species